UACGUAGGGUGCGAGCGUUAAUCGGAAUUACUGGGCGUAAAGCGUGCGCAGGCGGUUGUGUAAGUCAGAUGUGAAAGCCCCGGGCUCAACCUGGGAACGGCAUUUGAGACUGCACGGCUAGAGUGCGGCAGAGGGGGGGUGGAAUUCCACGUGUAGCAGUGAAAUGCGUAGAGAUGUGGAGGAACACCGAUGGCGAAGGCAGCCCCCUGGGCCAACACUGACGCUCAUGCACGAAAGCGUGGGGAACAAACAGG
rnacentral:rRNA from 1 species